CCGUAGGUGACUGCGGAGACAUUA
rnacentral:rRNA from 1 species